rnacentral:rRNA from 1 species
UACGGAGGAUCCAAGCGUUAUCCGGAUUUAUUGGGUUUAAAGGGUGCGUAGGCGGCUUAUUAAGUCAGGGGUGAAAGACGGUGGCUCAACCAUCGCAGUGCCCUUGAUACUGAUGAGCUUGAAUACACUUGAGAUAGGCGGAAUGUGACAAGUAGCGGUGAAAUGCAUAGAUAUGUCACAGAACACCAAUUGCGAAGGCAGCUUACUAAGGUGCAAUUGACGCUGAGGCACGAAAGCGUGGGGAUCAAACAGG